UACGUAGGUGGCAAGCGUUGUCCGGAUUUACUGGGCGUAAAGGGCGUGCAGGCGGUUUGUUAAGUGCAGGGUGAAAGCUCCCGGCUCAACUGGGAGAGGUCCUUGCAUACUGGCAAACUCGAGGGAGGCAGAGGAAAGUGGAAUUCCCGGUGUAGUGGUGAUAUGCGUAGAUAUCGGGAGGAACACCUGUGGCGAAGGCGGCUUUCUGGGCCUUACCUGACGCUGAGGCGCGAAAGCUAGGGGAGCAAACAGG
rnacentral:rRNA from 1 species